rnacentral:misc_RNA from 1 species
CCGAGUUUACAACUCCCAAACCCCUGUGAACAUACCUAUAUGUUGCCUCGGCGGAUCAGCCCGCGCCCCGUAAAACGGGACGGCCCCGCCGCAGGAUCCACAAACUCUGUUUUUAUUGUAACUUCUGAGUAACAGAACAAAUAAAUCAA